rnacentral:rRNA from 1 species
CAGCAGCCGCGGGAAUACGUAGGUGGCGAGCGUUGUCCGGAUUUAUUGGGCGUAGAGGGAGUGUAGGCGGUCUUUUAAGUCUGAUGUGAAAGCCCACGGCUCAACCGUGGAGGGUCAUUGGAAACUGGGAGACUUGAGUGCAGAAGAGGAGAGCGGAAUUCCAUGUGUAGCGGUGAAAUGCGUAGAUAUAUGGAGGAACACCAGUGGCGAAGGCGGCUUUCUGGACUGUAACUGACGCUGAGGCUCGAAAGCCAGGGGAGCGAACGGGAUUAGAUACCCGCGUAGUCCCUGUCUCUUAUAC